UACGUAGGGUCCGAGCGUUGUCCGGAAUCAUUGGGCGUAAAGAGCUCGUAGGCGGCCUGUUGCGUCCGCUGUGAAAUCCCGGGGCUUAACCCCGGGCGUGCAGUGGAUACGGGCUGGCUGGAGGCAGGCAGGGGAGAACGGAAUUCCCGGUGUAGCGGUGAAAUGCGCAGAUAUCGGGAGGAACACCGGUGGCGAAGGCGGUUCUCUGGAACGCAACUGACGCUGAGACGCGAAAGCGUGGGGAGCAAACAGG
rnacentral:rRNA from 1 species